UCAGGUGGCUGGAUGGCCGCGUCUCAUUUCGGUGGGUCGAGGAAAGUCCGGGCUCCACGGAAACACGGUGCCGGGUAAUGCCCGGCGGGGGUGACCCCAGGGAAAGUGCCACAGAAAGCAAACCGCCCGCAUUGUUCGUCUUCGAACGGGUUUUGCGUGGUAAGGGUGAAAGGGUGCGGUAAGAGCGCACCGCGUUGCCGGUAACGGGAACGGCACGGUAAACCCCACCGGGAGCAAGACCAAAUAGGGGUGGUGGACUGGUUCGCCGGUCAAGCCUGUUUUCGGGCUGCCGCCCGGGUGUGUCGCACGAGGUGUCUGGUAACAGGCAUCCCAGAUGAAUGGUCAUCGCCUGUAUUGCCGCGAGGCACGCAGGUACAGAACCCGGCUUACAGGCCAGCUGACGUC
rnacentral:RNase_P_RNA from 1 species